UACGUAGGGGGCAAGCGUUGUCCGGAUUUAUUGGGCGUAAAGCGCUCGCAGGUGGCCCGAUGCGUCGUGCGUGAAAGCCCCCGGCUCAACUGGGGAGGGUCACGCGAUACUGGUCGACUCGAAGGCAGGAGAGGGUAGUGGAAUUCCCGGUGUAGUGGUGAAAUGCGCAGAUAUCGGGAAGAACACCCGUGGCGAAGGCGGCUCUCUGGAACGCAACUGACGCUGAGACGCGAAAGCGUGGGGAGCAAACAGG
rnacentral:rRNA from 1 species